UGUCCUUCAGUUCAGGAAUCACGGGAGCCAAGUCGGUGAAGACACAGCCAGUCUCUGCCGAGUCUGCUGUGGCCGUCAGCUCCCUUUAUCUUUGCAUUCACGUUUCACUGAUUAAUGUCAAUACCAAGAUUGGGAAAGUCUGAUUUAUGUAAUAGACGGCCAAGUUACGUAACGGCAGUAAUAAGAACAGCUCCAAGUCUGGAAACAAAAGCAGCUUGGUGAGCGCAGCUCUGAUGGGAAAGAUGUUAAACAGCUCUGGAGAGCAGCCAGGCUUGCGUGGUUCCUGUACCGCGGGCGGACAUCCUUCCAGGAGCCAGACUUCCUUUCUCAUGUUCGCAUUCAAACUGAACACCCUGCCCCUUCCACACACUUGUUUCCAGUCAAAGAAGCACAACUCCACGUGCAAACUUGACAAGCACCGCACAGACAAGCCAGCCGAUAAAGAAACGAGGAAAGAAGACAAGGGAAACGCAACAAAACCAGGAAAGAACCCAAAAGCCCGCAGAAGAGAAGUAUGGGAAAGGGGCCUCAGGAUGGCCUGACAAGCCUUUAUUAACAGAAACUUCUG